rnacentral:rRNA from 1 species
AUACGGAGGUAGCAAGCGUUAUUCGGAAUCACUGGGCGUAAAGGACGCGUAGGCGGGUUUGUAAGUCAGGUGUGAAAUCCUACAGCUCAACUGUAGAACUGCACUUGAAACUACAGACCUAGAGUAUGGAAGGGGCAGAUGGAAUUAGUGGUGUAGGGGUAAAAUCCGUAGAUAUCACUAGGAAUACCGAAAGCGAAGGCGAUCUGCUGGGACAUUACUGACGCUGAGGCGUGAAAGCGUGGGGAGCAAACAGGAGUAGAAACCCCGGUAGUCC